AGGAGGAAGAGCCUUCAAUGCCAAACUCUGUUCUGGCAGGGGCAGAAGAGGAUUGUGUCUGCUUAUGAGGAGAGCUCAUACCCUGACAGUUCUGUUCAUCCUCACGUGUGCGCUGGGCUACGUAACCCUGCUGGAAGAGACUCCCCAGGACACAGCCUACAACACAAAGAGAGGAAUCGUCGCCAGUAUUUUGGUUUUCUUGUGUUUCGGGGUGACACAAGCUAAAGAUGGACCAUUCUCAAGACCUCACCCAGCUUACUGGAGGUUUUGGCUGUGUGUCAGCGUGGUCUAUGAGCUCUUCCUCAUCUUCAUCCUCUUCCAGACUGUGCAGGAUGGGAGGCAGUUCAUGAAGUACAUUGACCCCCAUUUAGGGGUUCCUCUGCCAGAGAGAGACUACGGGGGCAACUGCCUGAUUUAUGACCCUGGCAAUGGAACUGAUCCCUUCCACAACAUCUGGGACAAGCUGGAUGGAUUUGUUCCUGCUCACUUUUUUGGGUGGUACCUGAAGACUCUGAUGAUUCGGGACUGGUGGAUGUGCAUGAUCAUCAGUGUCAUGUUUGAAUUCCUGGAGUACAGCCUGGAGCACCAGCUCCCAAACUUCAGUGAAUGCUGGUGGGAUCACUGGAUAAUGGAUGUGAUCUUAUGUAACGGGUUAGGAAUUUACUGCGGGAUGAAGACCUUGUCCUGGCUUUCCUUAAAAACCUACAAGUGGCAAGGACUCUGGAACAUUCCAACCUACAAAGGCAAGAUGAAGAGGAUCGUGUUCCAGUUCACCCCGUACAGCUGGGUGAAGUUUGAGUGGAAGCCAGCCUCCAGCCUGCGCAGGUGGCUCGCCGUCUGUGGCAUCAUCUUCGUGUUUUUAUUGGCAGAGCUGAACACGUUUUACCUGAAGUUUGUGCUGUGGAUGCCCCCUGAACACUACUUGGUGCUGCUACGCCUCGUGUUUUUUGUCAACGUGGGAGGAGUGGCCAUGAGGGAGAUCUACGACUUCAUGGACGACCCGAAGUUCCACAAGAAGCUGGGCCAGCAGGCCUGGCUGGUUGCUGCUAUUACUGCCACAGAGUUCCUGAUCGUCGUCAAGUACGAUCCCUACACGCUCACCCUCUCCCUGCCCUUCUACAUCACCCAGUGCUGGAUCCUGGGGAUUAUCCUGGUGCUCACCUGGACAGCCUGGCGCUUCUUUAUUCGGGACAUCACCCUGCGGUACAAGGAGAUCCGGCGGCAGAAGCAGGAGCACCGGCACGAGAAGGACAAAUGCCUGAGCAACGGGGAUGGACACUCAGCCCUGCUGGAGGAGCCCAACGGGAGCAAACUGCGGGAGAGGAAGCAGUGAGCGCGGACGCGGGGCUGACAGGAACUCGUGGUGCACAGUCCCGACCUUAUCCUACCUAACUCCUAAUUGUCAUUGUUAGCGUUCCGGCGCGUGGGGAUCCUCCCGGGGGAGGAUGGCGCUGACACAGCCCCCCUCUCUCCUGGUGUCACCUGGGCAGGGCUGCAGGAAGGCUGUGCGUGGAGGGAGGUCAGCGCUGCCCCCGCGCGGGGCGGGGCCUUCGCCGGGUGCUGCGCCUCUUCCUCGGAGCCAGGUGUGGAGAUGGGGCCCAGAGCACGGCACACAGGGAUCUGCUGCUCCACUCCCAGGGAACUGAGAGCCCCGUGGGGCCUUUGGGCAUUAGGAACACUUGUUUUGGAGCGUACAGAGACCAGGCACGGGAAAGGAAUUGUGUUCUUCCUGCUGGAACUACCUGGAGCUGUGGAGGAGGAUUGGAUGAAGCGUUCAGCGAGGUGACCGGGUACGCGGGGACAAGCUGCGUUCCUUGCACAGGAUGUGCCACACUACACUGCUGUUCCAGCCCCUCCACAGGGCAUCCCACUGACUUCCAGCGUCCCGGAGUGGCCUGCGGCACGUGGGUGCUGUGUCCCGGCUCCGGGGAGACAGACAACUUCUCCUUAGUCUUAUUUCUAAUUUCUCUUUUAGUCUCGGUCAUCUCUUAAAUGUAAGGGAAGGUGAAGUGAGAAAAGUCAAGCUGCCUUCGCUCUGCGGAGUAAAAUGUGUCACAAGCAGACACUGGGAGUGUCCCGUCAGUCUGGAGUUCUUUGCUUUAUCCUCGGCUGGGUCUGUGUCCUCACCGCAGGAGCUUUGCUCUGGGGUCUGACGGGGGCUCUGCCACCCUCUGUCACUGCCCUGUUCCUUCCAGGAUAGCUCCAGAGUGAGGGCUUUCUGGGAAAG